AUGGGUGGAGGCUUAACUUGAGUUUGAAAAUAGUUUCAACAUCAAAGCUAUGAAAAUGAUUAGUGCUUUAUGUAACCAGAAGAGGCUGCUGUGGAGCAACAGUGCAGUAGCUGUGUUAAAGUAGCAGUUGCUGUCAGUAGACACAGUGACAAACCUGAGCUAUGAAUUACCCAAAUUGCUUUUCAUCAUAGCCUGUUUUUGCUGUUUCCUCUUGAUUCUAGGUCUCAGCUAUUCACCCUAUACAUAUACCAUGUUUCCUUAAACCCCAUUAGCAAACGGCAAAAUAACCCCUACAGUGACUUAAUAACAAAGCUACUGCCAGCCCCACUAACGUCGCUGCUGCACAAGAUUCACUGUAAGUAACCACCUAACUGCCCACACCUCCUCCACCACUGCCCCACCCCCACCAUAUCUCUCCCUCCAUCUAUCUUUCCACCCCCUCUCUUCUUCUGACACUCCCCCUCCACACACACUCUGUCAUGAGUGGGCACCCCUACGCUGCCCCCCAUCUGUCCCACUUUCAACAGACAUAGCCGAGUAGAGCAGCCUGCCUGCCUGGGCACCUGUUUCUAUGUGACAUAUCUAAUUCCAAAUUCCACUUCAAGCGCACAUUUUUUAGCUCUCAAUUUUCACUUGUUAUAUACGUUCAUAUCUCCUGCUGGCUGUGCUCUUUGCUGCAUGAUUCAGAUGUGUGAGACUACUUGACUACACUGACUCCCAGGACUUGGCAGCUAGGGGCUGCUGCUGUCAAAUAAAUGCUAGGCAAAUGUUUUCAAAAAGCUCUCCAUUUCAACUUGUUACAAGUUGAUCUCUCCUUAAUCUUGCUGGCUGUGCUCUUGUCUCAUGCUUCAUAAGUGUGUCAUAAUGAGACAAACUGCUGUCUUUUUCUAUCUCACGCAGUGCCAAGAUGGGCCAUUUACACCAUCUUUGCCGUCAUCGUCUUGCUGUUUUUGGUGUGUAUUAUUUGGGUCUUUGUGAAAUACUGCUGCAAGAGCAAGAAAAAGAGAAAGAACAACCCGGACCAUCAGAUCAAUCUACAAGGGGUGACUGGUUCCACGACUACAUCGCUAGUCCAACCUGACUCGGAUGAUGCAAACUACGGCUCAGCUAAAAACCGUGGAAGACUACUCUACUCUCUGGAAUACAAGGCACAAGAGGUUAGUUAGACUUUUGAACUUGUAACUUUAUCAAAACACCCUAGCCACCACAAGCCAACAUCACAUUCCAAAAUCAUGGGCAAUUUUUUAUUUUAUACCUUUAUUUAACUUGGCAAGUCAGUUAAGAACAAAUUCUUAUUUUCAAUGACAGCCUAGGAACAGUGGGUUAACUGCCUGUUCAGGGGCAGAACGACAGAUUUGUACCUUGUCAGCUCGGGGGUUUGAACUUGCAACCUUCCAGUUACUAGUCCAACCCUCAACCACUAGGCUACCCUGCCACCCCAAUAAUUUGGACUUAGUCCCUACUUUGCUGCUAUAACAGCCUUUGCUCUUCUGGGAAGGCUUUCCACUAGACGUUGGAACAUUGCUGCUAUAACUGUCAGGGUUUACCAGAAUUGGACCCAGAAGCAGACCAGGACAAGGUGAGUAAGAAGAUGGUGUGUAUUUAUUAAUUAAUGAGAACGUGGAGGUAGAUAGUUCCGGGUGGAGGAGCGGGCAGCGGAGGUGGGUUGAUGGGAGUGGGUAGGCAGAUCCAAUGGAUAACAACACACUGGCGACGAGCAGACAUGGAUGGGGUAUGGGUUCCGGGUGAAUGGCUGUAGACAAAACAAACGGCGGUAAGUAAAAGGCAAGCAAGACGUACAAAACAAUAAAACAAAACAAACUCUAUAAACUGGAGGCUGGUUCGUGGGCACAACAUACUGKUCAUGGCUAACGAUCCGGCAGGGAAUGGAUGUCAGGUCAGA
ensembl:lncRNA